rnacentral:rRNA from 1 species
CCUACGGGAGGCAGCAGUGGGGGAUAGUGCACAAUGGGGGAAACCCUGAUGCAGCGACGCCGCGUGUGGGAAGACGGUCCUCUGGAUUGUAAACCACUGGCCCCAGGGACGAAGAUGACGGGACCUGGGGAGGAAGCGCCGGCUAACUACGUGCCAGCAGCCGCGGUAAGACGUAGGGAGCGAGCGGUGGCCGGAAUUACUGGGUGGAAAGGGAGCGGAGGCGGGGAUGCAAGUUGGGUGGCAAAACUACCGGCUCCACUGGUAGUCGCACUCAAAACUGCAGCUCUUGAGUGAAGUAGAGGCAGGCGGAAUUCCUAGUGUAGCGGUGAACUGCGUCGAUAUUAGGAG